rnacentral:rRNA from 1 species
GUCCACGCCGUAAACGAUGGGCACUAGGUGUAGGAGGUAUUGACCCCUUCUGUGCCGAAGCUAACGCAUUAAGUGCCCCGCCUGGGGAGUACGGCCGCAAGGCUAAAACUCAAAGGAAUUGACGGGGGCCCGCACAAGCGGUGGAGCAUGUGGUUCAAUUCGACGCAACGCGAAGAACCUUACCUGGGCUUGACAUCCGCUGACCGCUACGGAACGUAGUCUUCCCCGCAAGGGGACAGCGAGACAGGUGCUGCAUGGCUGUCGU